AUGCAGUCGAACGAUUAAAGCUCUCUUCGGAGAGUGCAUAGAGUGGCGCACGGGUGAGUAACACGUAAGUAAUCUACCUUCGAGUGGGGAAUAACGUCCGGAAACGGGCGCUAAUACCGCAUAAUGCAGCGGCAUCGCAAGAUGACAGUUGUUAAAGGAGCAAUCCGCUUGAAGAGGAGCUUGCGGCAGAUUAGCUAGUUGGUAGGGUAAUGGCCUACCAAGGCUACGAUCUGUAACCGGUCUUAGAGGACGGUCGGUCACACUGACACUGAAUAACGGGUCAGACUCCUACGGGAGGCAGCAGUCGGGAAUUUUGGGCAAUGGGGGAAACCCUGACCCAGCAACGCCGCGUGAAGGAUGAAGUAUUUCGGUAUGUAAACUUCGAAAGAAUAGGAAGAAUUAAUGACGGUACUAUUUAUAAGGUCCGGCUAACUACGUGCCAGCAGCCG
rnacentral:rRNA from 1 species